UACGUAGGGACCUAGCGUUGUCCGGAAUCAUUGGGCGUAAAGCGCGCGUAGGCGGCCCGGUAAGUCCGUUGUAAAAGUCAAAGGCUCAACCUUUGAAAGCCGAUGGAUACUGCCGGGCUAGAGUCCGGAAGAGGCGAGUAGAAUUCCUAGUGUAGAGGUGAAAUUCGUAGAUAUUAGGAAGAACACCAGUGGCGAAGGCGGCUCACUGGUCCGGUACUGACGCUGAGGUGCGAAAGCGUGGGGAGCAAACAGG
rnacentral:rRNA from 1 species